rnacentral:rRNA from 1 species
GUCGUAACAAGGUUUCCGUAGUGACUGCGAAGGAUCAUUAACA